CUCCUGGAGAAGCGGAAUAUUCCCAGCCCGCCCCUUUCCCCAACUUUCGGCCAAUGGGGACGCCACUUCCAGUCCGAGCAGGCUGAGGCGCAUGGACGUCCGCCAGUUCUCGCAUUCUAAGGAGCAGAAGGAUGGGGGACAUUCCUACAGGGUGGCACAACAUUGCUCAACUACAGUGAUAAAGAAAGGAUGGCAAGUACGCUGUACUUGGAGAUGCAGAAUCAACCUCGCCCAGUGCCUUCCAGAUGUCUUAGACCACAGCUCCCAUCAUCCCCAGCCGGCAUGCACAACAGUCAACAGAAUGCUCAACGGUGAAGCUGCUCUUCCUUUUCAUUAGAGGAUGAACACAAAACUAAAGCAAACAUGGAUGAACAAGAGAUUGUACUUUCCUCUGCUUUCCAAAAGGGAGGGAGGGAGGGAGGGAGGGAGGGAAGAAUGGUAGGGUGCCAAAUCAAGCAAAAGGAUGUUUUAA